rnacentral:rRNA from 1 species
GACGAACGCUGGCGGCGUGCUUAACACAUGCAAGUCGAACGGAAAGGCCCUGCUUUUGUGGGGUUCUCGAGUGGCGAACGGGUGCGUAACACGUGUGUAACCUGCCCUUCAUUUUGGGGUGACUUCAGGAAACUGGGGCUAAUACCGGAUAGGAGCUCCUGCUCCAUGGUGGGGGUUGGAACGUCUCAGCUGGAGCGGUUGGAUUAGCGGCUUAUGAGCUUGUUAGUUGGGUAGUGGCAUACCCAGGCUUUGACGGGUCGCCGGCCUGAGAGGGGGACCGGGGACAAGGGGCCUGAGAUACGGAGCAGACGGGUACGGGAGGCAGCAGGGGGGAAUAUGGCACAAUGAGAGGAAGCGGGAGGAAGAAGCGCCGGGUGCGGGAAGACGGCUUGUGGGGUGUAAACAGCUGUCGGCUGUGACGAAGCGUGAGUGACGGUAAUGGAUAAAGAAGCACCGGCUAACUACGUG